AAAACACAAAAAAUACCUGACAUGCCUUCAACAAAAAAUAAAAAAGAUGAAUCUGUGUCGACAAAUAGAAUAACUUUUAAAAAGCUGAAAGUAUUUUAUUACCAGCUGCCUGACCAAAAAGACAGAACGUGCUUCUAUUUUCCUGUAGCCACAAGGCCUUGCAAAGUGUUGACACUCCUUGAACUUUUCCAUCACUACCACAAAUUUGAAUAAACACUGUGAGCUGGACCAGCACAGAUUAAAGGAUACUGGAAAUGUUUGCAAAACAAAUCUAAAAGUAUUUUAUGCUGAUUUAGUUUUAUUUUUUUGUUAAAUCUAUCACUGAGUACUUGUGUGAGAUUUAUUCAGCUGUAGUAACAUAUUUAUUUUAAGGCUUUGAACAGAAAACAAAAAACAUUUAAACACAAUAUGAAGAAAUUGAGGUGUGGUUCAAAACAUGACUGAAAACAUUUACUUUCAAGUAUUCUUCUCCUUAAAGCUGCGCAUUAAGAAGAAAAUCAUGGGACUAAAUAAAAUAACUGACAUCAGCAUGUUUUAUUUCCCAAAACGCAUCCUGAAGCAGCUCCCUGAAAUCAGCUGUUCUCUGAUCAGGCGGAACAUUUCCAUGAAAACUCAAAGCCGCUUUUUAACAGUAGAUCGCACCUCAAACAAGGAUUUGUGAGCACUAACCUGUCGAGGAAAAUGUCAGGCAGUGGCGGGUAGGUGCGCAUGUCAGGCACCCUUUCGUGGACUAUGACCAUGACGAAGGACGUGAACCCGAA